GAUUGGCUCUUUGUCUUUGGACUGACGUCACUGGUGAAUACAGCGUGAGCGCGCAUUUUCUAAUGGCUGCUGAUCACUAUUGCAGAAAGAUCAAAGCAAGGCCAACCAGGAUGAGAUGAAAAUGUGUAUCAAGAGUUCAACCAGAUAGUGUGGAAGAAUCUUAAGCAAGAAUUAUAUUGGUCUCUUGAUCAUCACUGCCCACAGCUGAUUCAGAUCUUCAGGUCAAAGAGAGGAUUCACUGGACAGAUUUUUAUCUUCUACAAAAUAUCAAGGCCUCUGACCUCACUGACAUGCCAUGUGUUGCCAUUUGAGUGCUUCCAGUAGUUGUUGGUGAUGACCCAACAGUUCUUCAAAACAUGUUUUGCUUCAGAUGAUGGAGACUCAAAUCAACAUGUGCCCGUUGGAAUUCUUAACCAAGAAAAUUAAGAUGUGGCUCUGCAACCCCUGUCCUUCCACCUCCACCCAUUCUCUGGGAAUCAUCUUGGAGGGAAAUGUUGUAAUGGACAAUAUAGACAAUAUACCCCAGGCCAAGUGUCUUUUUGGAUCAACCUAUGCACUGCACCUAGGCUACACAAAAUGCAUGGACAAUACCCUUCUUUUUAUUCAACAAGUUUGGGUAAGAAGAUGCUGAAGGGUAAGAU